AAAAAAAAAAAACAAAAAAAAAAAAAAACAAAACAAAAAAAAAAAAAAAAAAAAAAAAAAAAAAAAAAAAAAAAAAAAAAAAAAAAAAAAAAAAAAAAAAAAAAAAACAAAAAAAAAAAAAAAAAAAAAAAAAAAAAAAAAAAAAAAAAAAAAAAAAAAAAAAAAAAACAAAAAAAAAAAAAAAAAAAAAAAAAAAAAAAAAAAAACAAG
rnacentral:lncRNA from 1 species